AGCUUCCUCCACUGCCUUUGCUAGCAAGUGCUCACAUUACAUCAUGCCCCUUGCGGCUGGUGCUGGUCUGCUGCUGCUGCUGGUGUCUCUGAGCCUCGUCUGGACCCUCUGCCCUUCUACUCUAGGACUCAAGCCCAGGAUCUCAGCACCCCCAGCUUCAGAGGAGCACCAGGGUGGGAUCUUAUACGCUCAUCUGGAUUUUGAUUCGCGGAAUCGCAACGGGCGCACGAUGCAGCGAUCGGCCAGAGGGAAACAUCUAAACCCUGAACCGUCUAGUGCAGGGGAAUCCACACGUGGGAACUGAUAGUUGGUUCUCUGCUGAUCGGACGUAGCAGCUGGAAGAAGGCUCUGUCUGUCUCCGUCUCCUUUCUUUUUUAUUUUCUCCACUUCUCUGUUUAGAAUAAAAAGCUCAGAAGAUCCCCACUGAGUCCAGCCUCAUCAGGUGGGAAAUCUCCUUUUGGGAUAUAAAGGCAUCACGGUAUAGAUGACUUUACACGUCACUUGUGUAUUCGAUUGGAAGCUCUUUGGGGCAAGGACUGUCUCUUUGUUCUCUGUUUGUGCAGCGCCUAGCAAAAUGGGUGCUAUGGUAACUCAAUAAUUGUCAUCAUCAUGCUCUCAUCUGCAGAGGGACCCGGACACAGCUGAACGCCUGCAGCUUCCCUGCACAGAGAGGCCGGAUGGCAGAAGCCUGCAGAGGGGCCGUGCAGCCCCUGUAUAUGUCACAGCUCCCAGCUCCCCUGAUCCUCAGCAGGCUCGUGCUCCCUUUGCAGUAACGUUACAUGGACGUGCAAUGGGAUUGUGAAGGGGCAGGAUGGAUGCGGGAGGAGCUGGGAGGGAUGAGAAUCUCUCCUCAGGCCAGUGCGGGAGCUGCUACUCCAGUGCUUCCUCUGGAGCAGUGUUUCUCGACCACCAGUCCGUGGACCAGCGUCGGUCCCUGAGAUCUCCCUGACACAGUUUAGGAAGGCAGCAAGCCGGUCCCUGAUAUUCAGAAGGUUAAGAAACGCUGCUCUAGAGUCUGCUGCUUUCCCCCAUGGGCAAGAUCCAUAGGGCCCCAUGUGCCAGCCCCUCUGCACCA